AUACUCUGGUUUCUCUUCAAGAUCGUAUAAAUCUUUCGCCUUUUACUAAAGAUUUCCGUGGAGAGGAACAACUCUGAGUCUUAAGCUAAUUUUUUGAGGUCUUGCUUUUUAGCAAGACU
rnacentral:snRNA from 1 species